GCUGACCUACACUCGUCGCGUGUCCCACUCACCAUGACAGGCUACUGAAAAUGGCUGACAGCUGAUAAAAUCAUUAUUGCACCGUACCUAGAGCCACGCUCCGAUAGAAAUUCUAAAAAAAUCUUUUCGGAUCGCCUUGAUUUGAAAAGACUCCGACAUCAGUGCGUCAAAUGCCAAAAUACUGGAAACCAUCGAGUGCGAAAAUCGAGGGGGGCAACUUCGGCUGUGAGAAUUU
rnacentral:lncRNA from 1 species